rnacentral:rRNA from 1 species
GACAGAGGAUGCAAGCGUUAUCCGGAAUGAUUGGGCGUAAAGCGUCUGUAGGUGGCUUUUUAAGUCUGCCGUCAAAAUCCCCAGGGCUUAACCCUGGGAGCAGGACGGUGGGAAACUACCAAGCUGGAGUACGGUAGGGGCAGGGGGAAUUUCCGGUGGAGCGGUGAAAUGCGUAGAGAUCGGAAAGAACACCAACGGCGAA